UACGUAGGGGGGCAAGCGUUGUCCGGAUUUAUUGGGCGUAAAGAGCGUGUAGGCGGCUAGAUAGGUCCGUUGUGAAAACUCGAGGCUCAACCUCGAGACGUCGAUGGAAACCAUCUGGCUAGAGUCCGGAAGAGGAGAGUGGAAUUCCUGGUGUAGCGGUGAAAUGCGCAGAUAUCAGGAGGAACACCGGUGGCGAAAGCGGCUCUCUGGAACGGUACUGACGCUGAGACGCGAAAGCGUGGGGAGCGAACAGG
rnacentral:rRNA from 1 species